rnacentral:lncRNA from 1 species
AAAAUAGCUAUGAUUUCUAGCACAGGUGCAAGGCCACACAUUUUGUUGGGGUGUGGAAGUUUACUCAAUUAGAUUGACCUCUGACCUAGUAUGUCCACUCAGAAUGAGGAAAUGUAAACCAACCAUGGUAGACUUCGAUCUUAAAAUGUAAAAGGUGGUGUGGAACUAAAUAUCACCAGAUAUUUUAUAACGAUUUCUGUUUUUUUUUUUUGUUUUCUUAAUUAAAAUGAUUUCUGCGGCACAAUUGUCAUUAUGUGCAAUACCCUGCCACAUCUUCAGUCACUGUUCUUCUGUUAUACUAGUAGUGGAAGUGGUGGCCUUGGAGUAAAGGGGUAUGGUGUGUAGUACCCCGCGUCUUUCUCAGAAAGAGAGAAUUGAUCCCCGAGUACUCAACAGGUUCCGACCCAAAAUUACUAGUUAUAAUUUGCCCCUAAAAGCAAUAAACUCCUCUACAUGUGUGUGUUUCUACUGUAAUCUUAUGUUAUGCUUCUCUUCAUUUCAAAAGUGAAUUUUGUUGUUUAAAUCUCAUGCCACCCGUUACUGAACAGAUCUGUUGUAUAGCUAGAAUUACGUUUCCUCUAUUAGACUUUAGGGUGUGAUCUGAGGGAGAUUUAUCUGUAGUUUCUUGCACAUUACAUGAUCACUGAGAGAGUCUCUAUUGUUGACAUGAUUGAGCUUUGUUUUGUUUAGGUCUGAUAGCCAUGGUCUUCUUUAGUGUUAUUGCACUGCUGUGGCGAGGGUGGUAGUCAUGUGGUGGUGGUGGUAGUAGUAGUAGUAGUAAAACCAACUGACUACAGAAAACAGGUUCACAUUAUUUUGUUUCCUUUCUAUUUUCACUAUUUUAUAUCUAGAAUACGGUUUAUUUUGUGAUCAAUAUUAAACACUUAGAAAGAUAUAAUAAUAAUAAUAAUAAUAAUGAUUUCAUUUAUUUGCCACAAGGGGGAAGGAUGAGUGGGACUAAACAGAAGCAGACAUAAAGUGUGGGGGUUUACAUAUAAUAAUAAAAUGAUAAAAAAAAAGUAAACAGUAUACACUGGAAAAGAAGGGACAUAUGCAUAGCAUACAAAGGUAAAAAAAAAAUCUAAAAAAAAGGUGGCCCUUUUCAUACAGGCAUGCCUCUAUGGAUAAUCAAGGAACCCCACUGUCUGAGAUUUCCCUGAAACCCUAGGAGCAAGUGUCCUCUCCAAUUCCUUCUCUCCAACUCAUAGGUCUACACUUAGAGAGGUACCAUCCACUAUAUUAUAUCAAUAUUUGUCUUAACUGACUAUUGAAAAUUUCAUGCCUGACUUUUCACAAAAAGAAAGAAAAUAGGAAAAAAGUCACCCCUCUUACCACUAUCUUACAUAUUUUAUUCUAAUUUAAGUUCUUUUCCAUUUGAAAUGUAUAAUAGUUUGGUAAUUGUUCAGAUUAUGUAUAUGAAAUCAUAAACGUAAGAUUUUCAAUUUGGUUUGAUAUAAAAGCUUAGUUUUUGUGAAAAUGGUCAUUUUGUAUGUGAGGCUACUCUAUGUAUUAUAUCAUUCUGUAUGUAAGGCUUACCUGUGACAUUAUAAUCAAAGUGAAAAUUGCAAUCAUAUACAUAAUGUCAUUCUUCUACAUCCAUUUUCCAUUCUGGCAUACGAUGGACAGUUUGCCAAGAUCCAGUGGGUCAGAUGACUAUAUUGCGCUCUAAUGUCUCAGUUUUGGUAUUGCUUCUAUGGCUCCGUGCUCUUCCUAGCAUUAGCAUUUUUUCCAUGGGACCAGGAUUAUAGAGGUUACCUUGUUAUUGGCAAAACUUUAGAGCCCUCUGAAGGUCUGUAUUGUUGCUACUUGGUUUGAUUUACCAUCCAUUUACAGUGCAUCAACAUUAGUGGGAUUACUUUGCUACUUGCAAAGCAAAAGAGAAGCUUCUAUAAUGGUUGAAGACUGGAACAGAUUAAAUACUGUGUGUGGAUGGUGAUGGAAAGAAUAAUAGCAGAAAUAUUGUUUGGCUGGGAAUAAUGGAGAUGGGACAGGAAGAUUAAUGUUAAAGUUUAGUCUAAGAGAUUUAGGGAGGAGGUGGGUUAAGUAAUGAUGAUGGUAGUAUGCAGGGUGGGGUCCAAGGCUAUCCUACACUGUAAGGUUGAGUAUGAGUGAAGAGUGGAAGGGAUAUGAAAGAGAGCAAAUAGAUAAAGAUGAUGUGAAUCGAAAGCAUCACUGAAAGAAAGAAAGGUGUUGGAUGGUGAAGGUAACCCAGAGCUGGUGUUGAGGUGGUGAGGACAAUGAGAGAAAAGAAGGCAGAGAAGAGUGAUAGAUGGCAGUGAAUGAGCAAAAAUCUCAGGGAUAUGAAUGAUAGAGUGAUGGUUGAAGUAAGUAAGGAGAUUGAUGGAGGAAGAGGGAAUGUGGGUACAGGUAGAAUGAUGAUGACUGGUGCUCACUGGCGCCUUUCUCUUUAACUGCUGGUUGACUCUUGUUUUGAGACUUAAUUUUGGUAGAUGGAAACUAUAAGAAGCCCAUUGUGUAGUGUGUUAUUUUGCCUUGGCAUGUGUUCACUAAAUUUAAAGGGAUGUCAACUAUUUUACAAAUGGUGUUAUUUGUUUACAGCCCUCUGUAAAAGCAUAUGCAACCAUUGAACUGUUUGUUAUUGGAGAGACAAGGGGAAAUAUUAACCUGAUUUGGAACAUGUGAGUGUUGGUGACAAGAAAUGUAUUUAACCAUUGAAGUAACUUCUGAUUCAUGCAAAAGUGAAUGUUAAACUGAUGUUAAUAUUUGACUGUCUGUCUAAGGUAGGCGCAAUUGUGGCUGUUUGCUUCUCAGCUGGUUUUAGGUUCAGUUCCACUACAUGGUGUCUUGAACAAGUGUCUUCCACUAUAGCCCUAGGCCAACCAAAGCCUUGUGAGUGCAUUUGAUAGAUGUGACUUCUGUUCCCACCUCUUCAUUACUCAUCUUCUUAGUCAUUACAUUGUUGCAUGUGUUAUGACACAGACAUUGGUUUUCUUUAUAUUUAAUCACUAUAUCAUCCUAUCUUUCUUCUACAUGAAGUCUGUGUGACAAAGGGUGGCAUCAAAUUUGUCCAUACUCAAUAAUAAUAAUAAUAAUAAUGAUCCUUUCUUCUAAAGGCACAAAGCCUGAAAUGUUGGGUGAGGGAACUAGUCGAUUACAUCAACCCUAGUAUUCCACUGGUACUUAUUUUAUCAACCCCAAAAGGAUGAAAAGCGAAGUUGACUAUGGCGGAAUUUGAACUCAAAACAUAAGGACAAAUGAAAUACUUCAAAACAUUUUCCCGGUGUGCUAAUAAUUCUGCCAGCACGCUGCCUUGGACCAGGUAUUGAAUACCAACUCAGUGAAAAAGAAUAUAUACCACACAAGUGCAACAGACAUCUGCAAAAUGUGUGGGAAGAGUUCAAAAGCGUGACUAACAUUGUUAGUGAUUGUAAAAGUCUUGUGAAGAAAGAGUAUAAGUGUAGACAAGAUGAGGUUAUGGGUACUUGGUACCAACAUUCACCAGAAAAGGUAAUGGAUGAAAAGGGGAAGGCAAAAAUCCUCUGAGAUUUUGACUUCCAGAUAGACAAGGUGUUAGAGCACCGAAGGCUGGAUAUAAUAAGCUUUAGGAGAGACAAACAAGUGCUUAAUUAUUGAUGUGGCAGUGCCAGGAGAUCAAGAUCUCAUCAUGAAAGAAAGAGAAAAGGUUGAUAAAUAUGGUGACCUGAGAAUUGAGAUUGCUAAGAUUUGGCAGCUCUGAGAGUCAAACAUAAAAGUUAUCCCUAUUGUCAUCAGAGCACUGGGUUCAAUACCACCCAAUCUAAAGACCUUAGAAAUACCCUGUGAUCUAGAUGUAUUGCAAAAGUCAGCAUUACUUGGAACUGCAUGCAUAUUGCUUAAAGUAGUGUCUGUCUGAAGUCCUUGUGACUUGACAAACAGUACAAACCCCUGGAAGACAGUAUCUUCAAUCAACAACCUCACAAUAUUGUAUAUUUCGGAUAAAGUACCAUUUCUCAACUGGUACUUAUUUCAUCAACUCUGAAAGGAUGAAAGGCAAAAUUGACCUUGUUGUUUGGCCCUAAGUCAAUUCUGAAUUAUAAGACCUAUGAUGGAAAGUAUUCAAACAGUAACCUGUGAAUCUCUUGUUUUUUCAUGUAAAGACCUGGUCCCUUUGUAUGGUCUCUGUAUGUGCAACCUAGGGCAUGUGUUUUUGAGGAAGACUUGCAGUUACCCAAACAUGUGAGCCUAUUCUCUUUAUGUUACCAUGGGCUAAUACAACCUAACAUAUCAUUGCAGGGAUUGUUGUGUGAAUGCAAAGGGUUUAAACAGACACCACAAGGUAGAUUGCCCAACCCACUAACACUUCCAUCAACCUAUCAUCUUGGAUUAGUAUGUUUUUUUUUAAAAGAUUCUCCUUCUCCCAAAGGAUGAAAAGCAAAGUUGACUUUGAUGGAAUUUGAACUUUGAGUUUAGAGAAUCAGAAUAAAUACUGAGAUAUUUUUCCAAUGCUCUACCAACUCUGUCAGUUCACUGUCCUUGUGUGUCUCAUGCUGCAAUAUCCUACCUCUUUUCUGUUUUAGAAUCAUCAGCUGUGCUUUUAGGGAGACUUGGUUGCUACUUCUAUCAGACUGAGCAACUGUAUAGGUACUCCUUGUGAUUUCUAACAUUUUGGAUUUAAGGUUGUAUUAACUCCAGUACUUGCACCUUUCUUUUGUCAUAGCCAGAAGAAUGAAAACCAAAAAUGAGCUCAGGACAUAAAGGGAUAAUAAGGAUGUUGCAACUGAUUCAGGCACAAGGCCAACAAUUUGAAGGGAGUGGGGUUACACCACCCACUCACACUAUGUAACUAGUAUUUGAACUCAUAAACAAAAGAGUUAAUACUGCAAAACUUCUUUUUCCAGUAGUCUUCAAUAAUAAUAAUCAUAAUCAAUAAUAGCCCUCAGAAGGAUGAAAAGCAAAGCUGACCUAGGCACUGGGGUGGCUGUGUGGUAAGUAGCUUGCUUACCAACCACAUGGUUCUAGGUUCAUUCCCACUGUGUGGCACCUCGGGGCAAGUGUCUCCUAUAGCCUUGGGCUGACCAAAGCCUUGUGAGUGGAUUUGGUGUAAUUUGAAUUCAGAAUGUAGCAAUGGGCAAAAUACCGCUAAGGAUUUCAUCCGUCGCACUAACGAUUCUGCCAGCUUAACACCUUCAAUAAUAUUAACAAUAAUUUGUAGAAAGAGUCACUGUGAGACCUUUGACAACAGGUUGCUGUCUGCUCUCACAGAAUUAACCAGAGCAAGUUAGAUCAAAAGCACUGAGAAGUAAAAUAUAAUAACUAGCAGGACCUGUGAAAAUUCUACAGUGUAAGUCAGCAUAUUUAAAAACAUUGUUAUAUUAAACACAAGCAAGGAAUUUCUAAAAUGUUUUUGAAAUACUGCCAUUUAAGCAAACUACUUUUAAAUAUAAUCAAAAUGAAUUUUAGAAGGUAUUGCUUAUUUCUUUCUUUUAAUAUAUUUGGCAGAUGUGAUGUACUUUAUGAUUUAAGAAAGUAAAAGAUAAACUAAAAUAAAACCUAUUCAUACAUACAGGGGUUGGACAAAAUAAUGGAAGCACCUAGCAUCAUGGCAUCAUAAGUUUGAAAUAUCUAUAAAACCGUUGAAAGCUUGUUUAUUUUUAUGUUUUUUGAUUUAUUAUUAGUAUUGCUUAAUAAGUUUUGCUAAAAUUGUUGUUUCUUUUCAGAUAUCAUUAGAAAAAGGUAAUUAAAAUUCAUUAAAAUGACAAAUCUAUCGGACUUUCAAAGAGGUCAAAUUGUUGGUGCUCGUAUGGCAGGCGCUAGUGUAACGAAACAGCUGAGAUGUUUUGGUGUAUCAAGAAGUACUGUCUCAAAAGUAAUGACAGUCUUUGAGAAGGAUGGAAAAAUCUCCUCAUCAAAACAAAACUCCGGAAGAAAACCAAAACUUUCAGAUAGGGACCGUUGGACUCUUACAUGAAUUGUUAGAAAGGAUCACAAAAUACAGCUCCCAAAAUUCCUACAGAGCUUAAUGAUUACCUCAAGAACUCAGUUUCCACAAAAACUGUUCAUUGGGAGCUGCACAAAGCCAGAUUUCACAGGAGGGCUACAAUCAGAAAACCAAUACUUUCAAAAACAAGCGUUGCAAAGCAUUUAGAGUGGAGUAAAAGUCAACAGAAUUGGUCCCUAGAGCUGUGGAAGAAUGUUAUUUUCUUGGAUGAGUCAUCCUUUACCUUAUUUUCAACCACCAGCCAAGUAUACGUGUGGAGACAGCCAAAAGAAGCAUUUGAUCCAGACUGCCUUCUUCCAACUGUUAAACAUGGAGGAGGAUGUGGGAUGAUCUGGGGAGCUAUAUCUUGGAAAUCUGCCAGCCCAAUGGUUCCCCUUCAUGGCAGAAUUAAUAGUCAAGACUAUUAAGCAUUUCAUCUUAUCAAACUCAUCCUAUGGUUGCAGAACUGUUUCUGGAGGAAAACACAAUCUUUCAGGAUGAUAAUGCACCAAUUCACACAGCUAAGGUUGUUACUGAAUGGCACAAGGAACAUCUUAUCUAGCCACCAGAGUCCCCAGAUCUCAGUGUUAUUGAACAUUUAUGGUGCAAUUUAGAAAACAAGUAAGGAGUCGAUAUCCUCCACCAUCAUCACUACAAGAACUGGAGACUGGACAAAAAUUCCUUUGGAAACAAUUCAAACCUUGUAUGAGUCCAUACCUCAUAGAAUUCAAGCUGUAAUUACUGCCUAAGGUGGUCCUGCCCCAUAUUAAAGUAAAUUUGUUUGAAAUUUUAAAGUGUUUCCAUUAUUUUGUCCAACCCCUGUAUGUAUGUAUGUAUGUAUAUAUAAUAUAUAUAUAUAUAUAUAUAUAUAUAUAUACACACACACACACUCAUAUAACUUUAUAUAUAUAUAUAUACACACACACAUACACACACUCAUAUAACUUUACACACACACACACACACAUGUGUGUGUGUGUAUAAAAUUACAUUUUUCACUGUCCAACCACUACCAAGGCUUAAUUGAGUUAUUUACCAAUUGAAAUUAUUUCAAUUUCCUUUCAUUUCAGUUCAUUUCAGCUACAUAUCUACUUGUAUAUCUAUUAAUAUAUCUCUCUAUCUGCAUAUCUGCUGAUAUGUUUGUAGAUCCACCUGUCUACCUAUCUAUCUAGUCCUUUAUAUUGACUCCAGCACUCAACUAGUACUUAUUUUAUCAACCCUGAAAGGAUGAAAGGCAAAGUUGAUCUUAGUGGAAUUGGAAUUGAAAAUGUAAUUAUGGACAAAUUGUCACUAAGAAUUUUGUUCAGCAUGCUAAUGAUUCUGCCAGUUUGCUGUCCUAAUAGUAGUAAUAAUAGUGGUUUCAAAUUUUGGUAUGGGGCCAGUAGUUUUUGAUGGAGGAGUAAGUGGAUUGCAUCAACUCUCUAUGCCUGACUGGUACUUAUUUUAUCAAUUCCAGAAGGUUGAAAGGCAAAGUUGACCUCAGCAGAAUAUGAACUCAGGACAUAAAGAUUGUGAAAUACUGUUAAACAUUUUGUCCAGUAUGUUAACUAUUUUGCCAGUUGACUGUCCUUGUAUAAUAAUAAUGAUGUUGGACCCUGCUGUCGAAGAUGAUGUAUGAGUGUUCAGCUUUUGCCAAACGACCUGCACAAAUGAUUUGUUUAUAAUCAUAAAAUGUUCAAGUCACACACUAGCUCAAUCUCUCCAUCAAAUCGACAUUGUCUGAAUAGGUGCGCAGUGUAACAUGCAUUGGGUGUUGAAGUGAUUGCAGAGCAAUGUGAGAUUAAGUGUUUUUAAUAAUAAUAAUAAUAAUAAUAAUAAUAAUCCUUUCUACUAUAGGUACAAGGCCUGAAAUUUUUUAGAGAAAGGGGGCUAGUCAAUUACAUUGACCCAGUCCUUAACUGGUACUUAUUUCAUUGACCCCGAAAGGAUGGCAGGCAAAGUUGACCUCAGUGAAAUUUGAGCUCUGAACAUAAAGAUGGAUGCUAUGCUUGUGACCAUUUGUUUUGUGUGCUAAUGAUUCUCAUUGUCCUCAAAUAAUAACACUGAUAAUAAAAGAUUUUUGCAAUUGAAAAAAGUAUGUAUUGAUGGGAACUAAAUCAGUUUGCAUAUGAAAAUGAUUUGCAGGAUUUGAGUGAAUGAAAGGAUAUAGAGACACUUUUGAAUGUCUAGAACUGUUGCUGCUGAAGGAAGUAGAGAAAAGAUAAAACAUUGAAAAAAGUUAAUUAGGACAUAACAAUAUCAGUUUAUUUAUAUCUUUUAUUAAGCAUGAUACUUUGAGUUUCAUGUGAAGAAGAAAUGGCAAAUUAUAAUGUUCGUGCUUUUCUUCUGGUUAAUAAGGAAGGCAAUGAAUUCAGUAAUUCCAACUUCCAGAUUUCAAGCAAACAAUUAAAAUAAUUUCUUAAACACAGUGUCUCACCUUUUGUGGGAAGUGUAUAAGCUGUUUACUGGUAUAUAGUAAUGUGUCAGUAUAACAUUGGUAUAUUAUUAUAUUUGAUAGAGUGAAUGUGCAAGUUGAUUCUGGAUUGAGUUUGAAUUCCUGAAAGAAGACAUCUCAUUUGCCUCCAUGCUUCCACUGAUUCUGUGACAUUUCACACUUUAAGUAAUCUUUCUAGCUGAAAUGUAAAGGGAUGUGGGUGUGAUGAUUGAUUUGAUCUUUUAUCAUGUUUUAUUAACCCUUUUGAUAACCAACCCACCUGAGAUGUCCUUAGUUCUAAGAUUAAAACUUCCUGUUUCAAAGUGAUCUAAGUUAAAAACCCCUUCCUUCAAAAUUUCAUGUUAUGCUCUAAAUACCAGCUUAAUCACGAUGUAAUUUUUUUUGAUUCUUCAAUAUAAAAAAAAUGAAUUCAAUCAUAAGCUGUGUAUUUCAACAGAAUAGGGUAGUAAAAGCAUUUAAGCCUAGACUAUUUGUAUUUUUUCUCCCCUCUGAAACAGAAGAGAUGGAAUGGAGAUUUCAUGUUUUUUAACUUCUAAAUAGGAUUCAUAUUUUAUUAACUCGAGCGUAUUAGUUUCUUCUGAGUACACCACACUUCAUAAUAAUAAUAUUUCUGUGAACUAAACAAAUGCCAGUCAUGUCACAGAGUAGACCUCAUUGAUACACACAAGUUUGGCAGAUCACCAAUUCUUAUUUUCUUAACAAUGAAUUGAUAACACAACUUAAACAUAUGAACAUAGUGGUAAAAAUAGCAGUGAUUUAUCUUGACAAGGCCAAAUUCUACCUGUUCAAGCUACAAGUUCAUUGAAUCAAUUACAAUAUUUGUUUUAUCAGGUAGCAUGAAAAUCUAGUUGGUUAAAAUGGGAUUCCAAUCAAAGUAAGUAGAAUAAAGCAUCUCAGCCAUGUGUCUGUAUCAGAGAUUAUUUCUUGCAUAAACAUAACAAUUGAAUGAAAAGUGGGAAGUUUUGGUAAUGAUGCAUUCUUCAGAAGGUAAUAUCAGAAAUUUUAGCAAAACCAAACUGUUCAUUGAUAAGGUUUAAAAAAACCAAUCAUUUGCAAGAAAAUAAAACAAAAUCUCUGUCUCUGUCUGUCUGUCUCCCUCUCUCUCUCUCUCUCAUGCGCACACACACGCAUGCGCGUGCGCGCGCGCGCACACACACACAAAAGAUGCUGGCAUGGCUGUUUUGCAACCAAGUGGUUUCAGAUCUGGACCUAUUGUGUGACAUCAUAGGCAAGUGUCUUGGGGUGACCUCUUCGGUUUGAGACACAUUAGAUAAAUAGAUUCUGUAUGGAAGUCCUUUGUGUGUGUCUGUGUAAAAGUAUCGAUGAAGGUCUUAUGUACUGUUUCCUGCCUCUGUAUAUGUUUAUUACAACAUGUCUUGAUAUUGACACAGUUUCAGUAGCAAUGAUGUUUUGAUACAUGUAGGAAGAGGUAAUAGAAACAAAAGACCUACUGAAGUAGUAUGAUGGAAGAAGAAUUAGUGAAAUGAGGGAGGCAGUGAUGGAAGAGGGAGUACUGAAAGUGAAGAAAGAUGAGAGAGAUUGAUGGGUAGAAAUUAGGAUGAGUGAUUGUGUGUAUUUAUGUAUAUGGUGGAUAUCCCUAAAUGAUAAUGAGUAAAUGGGGAGAGAAGAGAAAGAAAGUGAGUGGUGUCUAUCAAUAAAGGUGUUAGUAGGGGCAGAUUUGAUAUUUGUCUCUCAUGAUACAUGUGGUAUGAUGGUGUCACAGAGGUGAUGAUAAAAAGGUCAAUAUCCAAAUGCCAAUAUCCAUCACCACCACUUUUUAGCAGCAGAUUCACUAUAUUUGAAUAGGUAUGUGGGUCUUGUCCAGCAAAAUAUCAUGCAUUGCAGUCCAUUGUCAUGCUCAUUAGUAUUACAUGCCCACUGCAGCAUACUUCAAUUCUUUCCUUGCCUUUGCAAAUCUUUUACAUUCAACCUCUAUAUCUUCCCACCAUGUAACAUCACAUUAUAGGCUCAUGCUGUCUCCUCAGAGACGGAAAUCCUUUACAACAAGCAGAAAUCAUUCUCCUCUUACCCUGUUCAUAUUCUAGCUGUUAUGUUUUCAGAACACUCACCUCCAUUGUUAAAUACGUUCCCCAGGGAAUCUUCUGGGUAUUUAAAGGAAUUUAUUGACUGCCCUUGUGUAUCUGCCACAUAUAAACUUCACCUUAUCUAUCUGUCUGAGAUUCUGCCACAUGUUUUGUGUGUUCAUAGUUUACAUGAGCUACUCUGUAUUUCUACCUGUAUUUUUUCUGCGCAUAUUAAACAUGGUCACUUCCCUCUCUUUUCUUGUUUGUAAAACUUUCUUGAUUUUGUUUCCAUGUCUGGAAUUUACUCUUCAAAUCUUCUCUAGAUUCAGCUGUAAGAACUCAACCAUUAUCAUACAAGAGUUUCCAUCAAUAGCUGGUCUUAAACUCUUUUGUUGCGGCUCAGGAGGGACCUCUACCAGCAUGCCAUGUUAAAUUUGUCACAGAUUGCAUUGCUGACCAUUCUCUACAUGACUUAUAUGACUCACAAACCAUCCAUCCAUCUAACCCUAGUUUUCGUAGCAAUCACUGAACUGCACAAUGUAAAAUCUUAUCUUGUCCAGGUUAACAAUUGCUAAGUACUUCCCCUGUAAUAGUCUCACAAGAAAGAAGACAUUUGUAGUGCCUCCUAGUGAUAUAAAUCUUAAUUACAUUUCAUGUGUCACAAUUCUGCCAAAGUUGAACUAAAAACCAGUUAUGUACUGAGAUCUAUUUAAUCAGCUACAUUGCCCCCUUAAAUUUCUGUCACUUGCAGUUAUUUUUGAUUUCUUCCCAAACAAAGGGAUUCCUUAUUUUGUUUUAUUUUUGUCAAAUAAGGCUGGGGUGUUUGAAAAGUCAGUUUCCACUGACAAUUUCCUGUCAGUGGUUCACGAUGCAAGUCAUCAUCAUCUUUAAGGGUGAUGACAGAGAUGAUAUUAAUAUUGGCAAUACACCUUGGUUCUCAAUAAAAGAAAUUCAUUAAUAUAAUCCACAGAGGAGUGGUUGUGUGGUAAGUAGCUUGCUUACCAACCACAUAGUUCCGGGUUCAGUCCCACUGCGUGGAAAUUUGGGUAAGUGUCUUCUACUAUAGCCUCGGGCUGACCAAAGCCUUGUGAGUGAAUUUGGUAGAUGGAAACUGAAAGAAGUCCAUCAUAUAUAUAUAUGUAUAUAUAUGUGUGUGUGUGUGUUCGUACCCCAACAUCGCUUGACAACCGAUGCUGGUGUGUUUACGCUCCCGUAACUUAGCAGUUCGGCAAAAGAGACCGACAGAAUAAGUACUAGGUUUACAAACAUUAAGUCCUGGGGUCGAUUUGCUCGACUAAAGGCAGUGCUCCAGCAUGGCCACAGUCAAAUGACUGAAACAACUAAAAGAGUAAAAUAUUGAUGAUAAAAUUUGUUUCUUUUUAUACACAUGCAAGUGUGCGUGAAUGCCUAUUAUAUAGCUACAAGAGUAUCUAUUGAACUCACACAUCUCAACAAGACAAGGUAGAAUAAAUUGCAUAUAGAAUUGUUUUGAUAUUUUUCAAUAUUUUUCAUGACAACCCACCCACACAAAGUGCAAUAAGACAGUUGUUGCUGCUGUGUGGGCAGCAACAGCAACAACAGCAGCAGCUGUAUGUUUCCCAAGUAGAUAUAAGUGGAAGGAUAUGGACUGGUUGGUGAUAUUGAGUGAGGUGGAGGAAUGGAAAGCCUGAGAGAGGGAGUGAGUAAGAAAGUGUGUGUCAGGAAGAGGUUAGUGUGAGUUACGGUAGAAGAGAAGAGUGAGAGGGAAAAUGAGAGGUUUUGAGAGAUUGUGUGUAGCGAGGAAGGAGGGUAGAUCAAGAAACUGGUCAAGAGUGAAAGUGAGAGAGAAGGCUAAGAGUUAGAGAGGUGUGUGUGAUAGAGUGAGAGAUGAUAGGUUGGAAAGGGACAAUAGGUGGGAGUGCUGUAAAACAGGAGAGGAGAAUGGAGUGAUGGAAGUAGAAACUGAAAGAAGAAUAGAAACUGAAGUGGCGGAGGAAGGGGAGAGACUAGAAAGAGAGGGGAGGAGGGAGGAAAUCAUGAAAAUAAAAUGGUCACAACAAGAUGGUUAGUUUUUGGAGGAUUUUACUUUUAUUUUAUAUUUUGAGGAGGCGAAUAAUUAGUUAAGAAAUAUCUUCAUCUAUUUUACUUUCAAAAAUUUUUUUUUUGCCGAUAAUUUAUUGAAUUCUAAAUUUUAUAACAAAACAUAUGCUGAGAGUUGGUUGUGAAAUAUCUUUGAAUAUUUGAGAGAGUUAUUUCUCCUUGGUCUACCUGUGUGUGUGUGUGUGUUUGGAAAAAGAGUGCCACCAGCCAUGACCUUUGCAAGGUCAUUGGAACUGAAGAGGAACAAGGGGAGCUAGACUAGGUGUGGCAGUAGGAAGCAGCACAUCAAAAUACUAACACCUGGUCUAAAUGUUUUGAGUGGACGCUCUUCCAGAAAGACAAAGGACCAGGUAGCUGUGUGAAACUGGGUGAUAGAUUAGGUCUUACCACCCAAAAAGAAUAACAGCCUCCCUGCCAACUCCAAACAGCGACAUAUCUCUUCAAUAAUAAUAAUGGUUUCUUAUUAUUUUCUUAGAAAUUUUUAUUCUUAAUUAUAAGAAUUAAAUUCUAGUUGCGGCUGAGAAUAUACUGUUGUAGUUUCUACAUUCUAAUUACAAAGAAUGAGAAUGUAUGGUAGGAAUUGAACUUAUCUUGGACUUGUUAGCUGUAUACUCCAAUACUAUGGGGAUACAAUAGUUUAGUUUUGUUGAAAUUGCUCCAUUUCUGGAGUGAUGUUAUCACUGAGGAUCUGUUCUGGUGAAAACAUUACCUUCACAUAUCUACUAUUGAACCUCAGUGAGUGACCCUUCUCUUCUGGAGCAGAGCAUACUUUGACCCCAAUAGUUAUUGAUGUACACACUUACAAACAAAAUUUUUUGAUAUACAAUGAUUUUAUGCCUGCUUUCCAUACUGGAUGGAAGCACUCCGUCAGUUACGACGACAAGGGUUCCGGUUGAUCCGAAUCAACGGAACAGCCUGCUCGUGAAAUUAACGUGUAAGUGACUGAGCACUCCACAGACACGUGUACCCUUAACGUAGUUCUCGGGGAUAUUCAGCGUGACACAGAGAGUGACAAGGCCGGCCCUUUGAAAUACAGGUACAACAGAAACAGGAAGUAAGAGUGAGAGAAAGUUGUGGUGAAAGAGUACAGCAGGGAUCACCACCAUCCCCUGCCGGAGCCUCGUGGAUCUUUAGGUGUUUUCGCUCAAUAAACACUCACAACGCCUGGUCUGAGAAUCGAAACCGCGAUCCUAUGACCGCGAGUCCGCUGCCCUGACCACUGGGCCAUUGCGCUCCACUUUCCAUACUAGUGUGGUUUGGAAGAGUCAUCACACAUCUGAUUAGUUCUUAUUUGGAACUACUUCCCUUCUGGACAGACAAGUACUCCACAUCUUGCACAUAUGUUCCAUUUUUGGUGUGUGUUGUAUAGCUGGAUGCCCUUUCUAACACCAACCAUUGUAUAGAGUGUACUGGGUGUAUUGUAUCAUGGUACCACCACUAGAAAAGUUGUCAUGUCUUCAAGAGGAUAAGUCUAAAGAAUACUUUGCACCCUAUUUUGACUCUGCUAAUUUACCAAUCACGUUACAAUGUAUAGUGAGUGCAGUUUAUAGUGGAACCAGUUUUAGUGAGGAUAUCUUGUACCUCAAAGAGAAAAGGUCCAUGUUGCCUCCAUCCAUUCAGUAUAGCAUAACCAAUAGUGAGUGUAGAGAAGGAGAAACUUGGGUAAUAGGGAAAUAGAAGUGUGAGUAUGAUAAAGUGGGGGGUGAAAGAAAUAGAAUGGCUGGAAAAUGAGUUUAGAGAUAGCAAGAAGAAUGGGAAAGAGAUAUUAAUAGAGAGGGCUACUAAUGGUUGCUAGAUGUUUGUUGCUAAAACAGCAAGAGUGGGAAACAAUGAGGGGUAAAUUAAAACAAAGCACCACCGUCUUCAAAUGGUGUCAUGUAAGGGCAUGGAAAGAAAACUUUCAUGCACACAUGCACACAUUAUGGCAGGUUUCCAUACAGCUUCCAUCUGCCAGUUUCAUCCAUUCUGCCUGCCUGUUCAUUUUUGUUUAUAACCUAUAAAGGGUGUCAAGCGACACCAUUGCACAACUCUAGUAAACAGACAUGGCUGGGUGAAAUGUGCAUUUGUGACCAUGUUGAUCUCCAUGUAGUUUUGGUAUGCAUAUAUAUGCAUACCAUAUAGACUGCAUGUUCUCCCCUUCACACAUGCUUACUACAUCAACAUUUAAAUGUCUUUCUAUGUGAAUAAUUGUGUGUGCAUGUGUGAGUAUGUCUUUAUAUAUCUAUAGGUAUGUGUGUGUAUGUGUGUGUGUGUGUAUAUAUAUGUAUAUAUGUAUAUAUAUAUAUAUAUAUAGGUGUGUGUGUGUAUGUGUCUAUAUAUGUGUAUGUAUAUGUAUAUAUAGUGUGUGAAUGUAUAUGUAUAUAUAGGGGGAGAGUUCAUGAAAAAACCAAAGAGAGAAACAAGAAGAGAAGAAAAAAUGUGUGUAGUGGCUACCGAUCUAUCGUGUGUGUGUGUGCGUAUGUAUGUAUAUACACUCACACACACACACACAAAUAAAUAUAUGUAUGUAUGUAUGUAUGUAUGUAUGUAUGUGUAAAUUCACUCUAGUUUGUGAAUAUGUUGUUCUGUGGAGAAGCACUUUCACAUAUGGAACAAUGUAUAAGGUUCACAUUUAACAGCUAUUUUGAUGCAUACUUACAACCUUUCAUAGAUAAAUAUACAUUUCUACAUUCACUGCAAACACUGCACACCUCCAAACAGAUGUGUGCACUCUGCUAAACUGUAUCACCACCUUUCAAUGUUGCAGGUUUGUUGAUUUGGCAUAUUUCAGCAGUUUGUGGAAACUGUUCGAGCUUACACUUCUACAAGUGUAACAAGGUUUUCUUGUCUUUUAAUUAUUACAAGCUCAAAGUAUUGCUCACCUGAUUUUAUUUUUUAUUUUUCCUGUUUUAUAUUUCAGGUUUCAUUUCUCAGUUUCUUCCUGACCUUUUGUUUCAGUAAACAGAGUUAGGAGUUAGUAUUUUCUCAUUUUGACUUUAUUUAGCGCAAAUGUCCCCCCCCUCUCUCUCUCACCACACACACACACACCAAAGUUAGUUGUAAAUGAAUAUUGUUUAUAGGAGAAUCGGUUAAACUAUUGCCUGAAAUUUCAAAGGAUCUCAUGUUUCCUGGUUUUUAAAGGUUUUUGUGCUUUACAACUGUUAUGCGUCUAGCAAUGUCAUUAACUGUUUUUUUUUUACUGAAGUUCAAUAUGUGUGUAGGCACAGGUAUGGCUGUGUGGUUAAGAAGCUCACUUCCCAACUCAAUAGUUUCAGGUUUAAUCCCACUAAACAGUAACUUGGGCAAAUAUCAUCUGUAGAUCUGAGCUAAUGAAAGCCUUGUGAGGGUAUUUGGUAGACAGAAUUUGAAAGAAGUUUCUCUCUCUCUCUCCCUCUCUCUAUUUGUAGUUUUCUGUUAAAAAUGUAUCUAGCCAUGGGGUAAUAUUACCUUGGUUAGAAAUAGAUGAGGGUUGGUGACCAGAAGGGCAUCCAACUGUAGAAAAUCUGUUUCAACAAAUUUGGUUUGGCCCAUGCAAGCAUGGAAAAGUGGAUGUGAAAAUGAUAAUGAUGUGUGCAUGUGAAAAUGAUGAUGAUGUGUGCAUGUGUAUUAUUUUUUUUUUUUUUAAUGUGAAGUUAUAAAAACAAUUUAGCAUUAAACUGAGAGAUUAAUCAAAUACUUUUUAGCAGAGUACAUAUUCAUUAAUUUUUCUAAGGUAAAGGUUUGAUGAUUGCUGUAUGAUAAUUAAAUCUUUAUAAGCCUAUCACUGCAUCUGUUCCCUGUUAGCUAUUACAGUUAUUUGGCAGUGGCCCUCAUUAAUUUUCUGGACAAAGGGCCUCUCGCUCAGAGUAAAAGGUAAACCGUAUGAUGCAUGUGUACGAACAGCCAUGCUACAUGGCAGUGAAACAUGGGCUGUGACUGCUGAGGACAUGCGUAAGCUCGCAAGGAAUGAAGCCAGUAUGAUCCGAUGGAUGUGUAAUGUCAGUGUGCAUACUCGACAGAGUGUAAGUACCUUGAGAGAAAUGUUGGACCUAAGAAGCGUCAGAUGUGGUGUGCAAGAGAGACAACUGUGCUGGUAUGGUCAUGUGGAGAGAAUGAAUGAGGAUAGCUGUGUGAAAAAGUGCCACACCCUAUUAAGGGAACUUGUGAUAGAGGUAGACCAAGGAAGACCUGUGAUGAAGUGGUGAAGCAUGACCUUCGAACUUUAGGCCUUACCAAGGAAAUGACUAGUGACCAAGACUUUUGGAAAUAUGCUGUGCUUGAGAAGAUCCGGCAGGCCAAAUGAGACCAUAACCUCGUGGCCUAUGCCAGGGGCGUAACCAGCCCACUUAUGCGUACCUUUUCCUUCUUUGGACACUAAAACUCUGCUUGUAUAGACCUGUUGAGGCAAGUGAAAUCAAAAGCAAAUUUGAUGACUGACAUCUGUGCUAGCGGGUUGCAAAGAGCACCAUACGAGUGUGAUCGUUGACAGAGCGGCUAACCGGCUUCCGUGCCAGUGGCACAUAAACGGCACCAUUCAAGUGUGAUCAUUACCAGUGUCGCCUUACUGGUACUCGAGCCGCAUGCUAGUAGGGUGUUAAGAGCACCAUCGGAGCAUGAUCGUUGCCAGAGUGGCUAUCUGGCCUCCAUGCCGGUGGCACAUAAAAGGCACCAUUCGAGUGUAAUCAUUACCAGCAUCGCCUAACUGGCACCUGUGCCGGUGGCAUGUGUAAAAGAUUUGAGUGAGGUCAUUGCCAGUACUGCCUGACUGGCCUCAUGCCGGUGGCACGUAAAAAGCACCCACUACACUCUUGGAGUGGUUGGUGUUAGGAAGGGUAUCCAGCUGUAGAAACUCUGCCAGAUCAAGAUUGAAGCCUGGUGCAGCCAUCUGGUUCGCCAGCCCUCAGUCAAAUCAUCCAACCCAUGCUAGCAUGGAAAGCGGACGUUAAACGAUGAUGAUGAUCAUCAUCAUCAUCAAUAACGUUUUUGAGCUUAUUGGAUGAAUUCUGGUGUCCUUAAUGUUCAAAUAUUUAGAAUAUUUUUUUCUCUUUGUUACAGCUGAAACACUCCUGUCAGAGUCUUUCAAUUCCAUCUGAAUUUCGUGUACAAAAGGAUUUGCAAUGUUUAAAAAGUUGGCAAUUUCUGAAUGACUGUGUUCCACAUACUUGGGUACAAUGGCUGCAUGUCUUUUUAUUUCUUGUGUUAACAUGUUAUCUAUCAUGGGGGAUAUGAAAAAAAUGAAAACCUUUUAAUUUGUUUGAAGAAUGUAAUAUACUGAUAAUUAAGUGUCCUCAAAUGCCCCUCAUUUCCUGUAUGUCUUGCAAACUCUCUCACCUACCUAAGUGCUGCCAAGCUCUUCUGGAUCUCUACUAAUAUUGCAGAAUCUUCUUCCUCUGCCAUUCCUCAAGAAAGAUGAGUUCUCUUAGUACUUCUGCUGCAAAUAAAUUCAGUAGAUUUGCUCUUUGUUUUAUUUUUAUCUCUACACUCCUCACACACAACACAACUUCUUUAAAUUCUGUCAAUCUCUCUCAUGCAACAAGACCUUACUUUAACCUUCACCUGUCCUACCACCAUGUACAAACUCUCCUUCAACUUUGUCUGAACUUGAUACUGACCACUCCAUUGCAUUCAAACAAUGCUAUCUUUAACCACAACCCUCCUCCCACUUGCUCUCAUUCAGUCAUGCAUGCAUUUUCUUUCUUAACACACACACGCGCACAAUCUCUCUUUCACUCUUACCCCAUGAUACAUGUUUUAUCUCUUUUUCUCAAGCAUACAUCCACUCAUGAACUCACAGUCCCAUGACUUGAAUUGUGAAAGAAAAGAAAAGGAUCCUGAUAGUAUUCUGAUUCCAUAUCUAAUGAUUUUAUCAAAUAUAAUCCAAGAUUUCAGAACAGUAUAAAUAGAACCAAUGUGUGUGGUUGUGGUACCUUAACUAAAUGUUUAACAAGUUGGGUUUAUGUGUAUGAAGGAAUAGAGAAGGCAAGAAUACAUGUUAGGACAAGUGUUGUUAUGGCUGAGACCAUUUCUUAAAUAAAUAAAGAUGAUGAAAUAAUAGCACACAGUAAUAUGUGCACCUUAUGUGUACCAUUGUUGUGCAGUAUAUGUUGCAAGAGAGAAGGCAGAAACUCUCUGACAAUCGAUUAGUUCCACUGCAAAACAAACAGACAAUUUCAUUUCAGUACCCCCACCCUUGUCUCUUGUAUAGCUUCAGCAUUUGGUUGACAUUAAAACAUUCUUUUAGAAACUGAUUUUACUCAAGAUUCUAAACCUGAUUGCAGCCUACUGCUCCCCAAGUGAUGUAUGUUGUGUGUUAAUCUAAAAAAGUGGAAGGGUCAGAGCUCAUAGCACUUCUAAACCAUUCCCGGAAGAGGUGGUGGUGGUGGUGGUGGUGGUGGUGGAUCAGUAUAAUCAUUAUCAAUGUUCUUGGAAUUCAUAAAUGAUCGAUGAAGUUAGUGUAUAACCCCAGGUCAGCCUUAAUUGACCAUCUUGUCUUUUUCUUAUGUUCAAGGAAUAGUUGCAUUGUUGUUUUAAGCUGAUAGGAUAUAGUUUGAGGGAGAAUUGGCUGCUGGUUUCAGAACCUAUAUUAAUUUAAUUAUCUCCUGUAUGUGUGUGUGUAUGUGUUUUAUAGAAUGAUUUAUUUCUUGACAAUACAACUCCUUUAAAAAUGCAUUUGUAAACAAUUAUGUGCCAUGACAAACAAUGACCUUACUGUCCAACUUGAUAUAGUAACUGAAAAUUAUUAUUUGUCACAAAACAGAGAGGCUCUUGAUGCUACUUAGUAUUUAUGACAAUAAUGAUGGAUCAUCACCAAUUUCUUUAAAAUGUUUCUGGAUUUACUCCUUUGCCAACUACCAUAUCUUUUGGCAUAUAAGUCAACAUAAUAUAUAGUGUAAACAUUCAAACAUCAUCAUCAUCUUUACAAAUCCUGCUGCAUUUCGCAUGGAAUUCUUGGUCCUCCACAGUUGUCUUGGUGUAUAAGUCAAUCUACCCUUUUUUGUUGUAAAUGUUCGUCUGAAAAAUUCAACUUAUGUACUGGAAAACACAGUAAAGCAUGCUAUUGUGCCAUGGUGGCAUUCUCACAUGCAUUCCUCUGUGUCCCUUAUUGUAAACUUGCUUUGUCUGUCACAUAUUGUUCCUUUUUCUAUUUACUUAUCCUUAUUGACUUGAUUCUACUUCUCAUGUUCUAAACUAUGCAGUGGUACUACAGUAACUUUCUUCAUCUCUGUUACUCUGUACUCCUCCUCUUACAUUUCCUCCUCUUACUUCCUCUUCUUUAAUUUCCAUUCAGUUUCCUUUCUUACCAUUCAGUUCAUUUCUUCAUAGCCUUCUCUUUCAUGUCACUGCCUCCUCCAUCUCAGCCCUUUCUUUAUGUCUCUUCUCUCUUUUUCAUUGUCCUUGUCUUCUCAUCUCUCUCUCAGCUUCUAGAUGCACAAAACAUGAUUUAUUUAACUUCAGAGAAAUGUCUCAUUCUUCUGUUAGUCAUUAGGAUUGUUUUACUGUCAGCCUAUAUAAAAAAAAAACAGAAAGGUUUUUCCUGUUGGAAUGAUCACUAACAUUCACUGCAACAUUGGUUAAAGGCAUGUGGAAGAGGAGGACAGUAUUGGUAAUGGUGUUGAUUGAUAUUAGAAGGAAUGUCUGUAGAAUAUGAAAUGGGAAAUGAAUGGAUCACAAACUAAUUAAGUAUUCAGCUUAGCACUUGAUAGGAUUUCAUUUCUUUUCUUGAUGUGGACAGUUAACUAAAGGAAAAAGAAAAAAAAUAUUGUUACAGGGGAUGGUCAAACUUGUAAAUUAGAUACUUACUUGAUUGUUGUUGUUUCUAUCUUAACUAUCAGACAAGAAUUUAGCCUAAAAAUGCCUGAAGCCAUAGCAACAGUCAGCUGCUUGCUACAUUUAUCUCAUUUUCUUGUAUUUUAGAUUGAGAAAAUAUUUCACGGGAGUCUGCUUUAAUCUUUCUUUUUUUUUUCUUUAGUAAUAGAAUCAGUGAUAAUGGGCUAAGAAGAUCCCACUGUAAUGAUAUUUGUUAUUUGGCAAAUUCUUACACUCUUGUCUUCACUUUCAACAGAAUUAGUCUUUAUUAAUAUACAGAUUAGCUGUCAUUCUUAAUUGAUAUAUCCAAUAUCUUAAACAUUAUCACUAACAUAUAUUAUUCACAGAUUAAAAUUUUCUUUUUUUUUCUACAUUUAUAAUACUUUGGCCAAAAAUAAUGCUGAUUUUCAGUAAAUAUGAAAAGUGUGUCCGUGUCCGUCCAGCUGUCUCCAAGAAACUUGCUGUGAAAUAGGUGAUCUGUUACCAAUAGUAGACUAGAAAUUGAGUCAUCUGUAUUAUUGAGUCUUAACUAUUCUUAGGGAACUCUUUGUAGCUUUUCUGUCUUCAUUUAGAUUUGGUAUAUAUUUCAGGAAUUUUAAUUUCAUUUCCACUUGGGGCUUGGUGGACCUGUCUUCAAACUGGUAGCUCAAGUAGAAAGGUGCAGCCUUAUUGUCAAAAUGUGUUAGGUAGCUAUUACCUAAAUAACAUAUUUGCCUACAUAUUACAUACAAUACACAAGCUCUACCUACCCUUUUAAUUCACUGUUACUGAAGGCAAUAGAUCUCAAAGAUACUUUUUGCUUCUCUGUAACUUGGCAAUUAUCCAACAGUAAAAAAUUUCUCCCCUCCCCAUUCCAAUAAUGACAGUACUAAGCUUUCUUGUGAUAUUCAUAAAAUUAGCAAUCCCUUCAUUACAGUGUUACAAAAAAAACACAUCCUCACACCUUCUUACAUCAGGUUUUGAAUUCUGUUAUCAAUAAUUGAUUCUAUAGAUAUUGGAUUGGUAAGGUAGUUUUUGGUUUAAGCACUUAAUCUAAGGAAUUCCAAGUAAAACAGUUUACCUUUAACUAAAUUGAACAUUGAAUAUGGCUGAAAAUGAAUGUAAAUAUACUAAUGUAAUUUAGACUUUUACUACUACUACUACUACUACUACUACUACUACUACUACUACUACUACUACUACUGCCACCACCACCACUGCCACCACCACCACCACCCACAUUAAUAUCCUGCAUCAAGUAGCAUUGUCUUUAAUAAUCACCAAUCAUAAUUGUCAUCAUCCUCAUCAUCAGCUGCAACAGCAACAUCAGUGGUGGUUCAAUAUGAACAUACUAAUGGUAUUUCUAUUCAACAUGACUGGUGCAAUUUGAUUAAGUGUAAAAACAUAGUUGGAUGAUGUAACAAGUAAUUAACAUUGAGAUAUCUUCCUCAAUACCAGCUUCUCAGACUACAAACUACUUUGUUACAAAAAAAUUACAGGAAAAAUGACAGAAAAUUGUGAGAGUUCAGUGUUUAUAAUUAAGACUGGCAUUUAACUACUGACUGUAGUAAUUUUUACUUAAUCUCAGCCACAGCCUUAAAGCCCCAUUUCAUUGAAAAUAUAGAAUUAAAAAUAGUCUUUUUAAACAUAAUACCAUCUUUAAAAAUAUUAAUGCCAUGGGGCUUCAUGGAACCAUGUGUGAAAAAAGGUGCAUUUAAUUCAAGUACGAAUGGCUUGAUUUAAUCUAAAAUUAAAAUCUUUAUAUUUAAUCAUAGAAAAUAUCAAUUAUUUUUGAGGGGGUGUCUUAUUUAUUUAUUUAUUUAUUUAUUUAUUCAUUUAGUUGCUUUUGAAAAAUGUUUUAAGUUCAUUGAAAUAGUCUCCUUAGGUAACAAUAACAUAUUGUUCAGUUUGCUUGCGGUUGUUUAUUCUUGCUGUAGACUGUUAUAGGUAUAAACUAAUUAAAGGAAAUUUGUUCAAAUAUUAGCUCAACCAAAUAUGUGACUUGGUAGAAGUCAAGGCACAGGUUUUCCUUCUUUGUUUUGCUGCUGGUGCUUGUGGUUCAAGACAGUUCUAUUCACACCAACAGGUUUUAGUUCUUAUUUAUAAAUUUAAUGGUUUUUAAAAUUUAUUUGUUAGUCUUAGAAUAUAGAGCUGAGCAAUGGUUUUUACCUCAAUGAACUCAUAAGAAUUCUUUCCAAUUAAAUAGAAUCUUGGACAUUGUUAAAUGUAGUUGGUGUUUAGUUUAAAAUUGUUAUUAAUUAAUGUUUAUUUGAAAGCUGUCAGCAAGCAAGCAGUUAUAUUUC